GAACAGGCCUGUAUGCCAGGCACUCCUGCAGUGUUCCUGUUUAGUCCAGUUGCAGCAUUUUGAAUUUAUUAUUAUCAAAUCUCUAACUCUUCUCUUCCUGGGUAGGUGAGAGAUUGUGUGACAUGGCAGAGAGGAGUUUUCAUACCCAGCUGUGGAAAGAAUUGAUCAGUGAAUGUCUUCUAGGCAUCCAGCCUGAAAGACAGGAGGGUUAUUUUUUUUCCUUUAUCCCUUUGUGAUGUGAGGAAAAAAUAAACCCCACAGCCUACCCUGGGUAAAAUGCUUGGGAUUUUGCUGCUGAAAUUCAUUUAAGUCAAAAAUAUAUCUGCUUUAUGAAUAAUUUAGGUCAUAAAUGAUUCAGAAUUUUUAUGUUUGGUGGAGAGUGGAACAGAACUGCAAAAGUGUGAGUUUGGGAGUUUUGCUCGUUUAUUAAUAAUUCCUGACUUGAGCACAUAGAAGUCACCCUUCUGUUUCUUUCCAUAUUUAUGCAGGUUAAUUCCUUACACUUAAACAUCAAUUUUCUUCUUCUCCUUUUCCAAACUAGUGGAGCAAUCUGCUCCAGCAGAGAAGGCCAGUUAGUGUUUAAUACUUCCUCAAGGAGUUAAUAACAGAAUUUUUGCCACUUAAUUCAGAAGUCAGGAACGGAGAGGAUGGCCUAGAUGUUUUUACAAAAGAAGCCUGGAUUCUCAAGUGUGCCAGAAUGGUUUGUGUAUUUUUUCUUUAAGUACAAAUGACAAUGAAUUGCUGCUGUUGUCUUUCCCCAUCCGGCUGAGUUUUACCAGCCCAAGAAUUGCAUCCCUAAAGCAACUUCUGUUUGACCUCUAGGAGCUUCCCACACUGACAUUUUCCUUUCUUUUCCCUCAAUAAAUUAAUUUCAUUUAGAAAUUCAGGACGACCCUGUAAAACUGUAGGAAUUGUUAACCUUGGAGUGCUCCUUUGUUGUUGCUGAUUUUUCUGUCUCCCCGGACUGCGUGUUUUGAAAUAGCAUCAUUACAUUGCCAUCCAUCUGCCUGGAGCAGAACCCAGCAUUGAUUCUGCUCUUUGUGACCCAGCACGGGGCUGAAUCUGAAAUUAUUUUUAGCACUCAUAUUUUUACCUCUCUUCCACGAGUUGCAGACCGUGCAUGGCAGCAGCAGGACUGGUUUUAGUGGAACACAUGCCUGAUACUCCAGGAUGACUGGAUCUGCUGGUUUUCAGUAACCAGUGGCUCCCACUCAGCCCAGUAUCCCACUGACACAUGGUGCUGCUACCCCACUGUCCCUGCAAUGUGGAAAGGCCUUUUUACACUUGAUUUUGAACCUUUGGUUAAGGUUUGUCUGACUGGCCUCAUCCUACCAUCACCUGGAGCAAGCCCGUUCUGCCUGGUUUAUUUUACACAACUAAUACUUGUGUUUUGGGAGGUUUUUCCCCUUAAGAUAUUCACUGUACCCUAGUUUAAGACAGACUUCAAGGCAUCCUUGAAAGGCAGCAGGUAAGUACAUUAUCUUCUUCUAGAGAGGCUCUAAAUCACAUUAGAAAAUUACCUUCUGAUAGAUGACAAAGGCACUUGCCUGCCCAGGUCCCUGAAAACAUGGGUCAGUGUCAUAAUUGCUUUCUUAACGGGACCACGGUGUCUAAUGAUCCCGGGCAGGAUUAAAUCAUGGGAAUAAUGCUGCACAGGGCUGGAAAAAUAAUUAGAUCAGCGAUGCUUGGGUGCCUUUGAGAUUGCCUGAGUGAGGCAGUAAGUAAUGCAGUUACCUUACCUACCAGGGAUGGCUCUGCUGUGGAUGCUGUCAGGAAGCUGCCAGCUCCCAGGGGCUUGGCAGCACACAAGUGUCCCUCAGUUCACAGCAGAGCCAGGCCAGCUCUUUAUUCAUCCCUGCCUUUGCUGGGGUGGUGCUGACGGCAUUCUUGGCACUCGGAGCUGUCACCCAAGUCACACCAGUGCCGGCAAAAGCCGGGACAAAACGGAGCAGGAGAAGCUGGGAAAGCUUUGCUGGCCGUUGCCAGGGUGACUGGGUUUGUGCUGGACAAACACUGCUGUGCUUUUCUCGCCUUGUGGCAUUUUGAGUGCAACCAAACAAACUCCUCAAGAGGCAAAACAAGUGGGAGAGGGGUGAAGGGAAAGGACAAACCAGCUCUGGCACUUGGCAGUGAGUGGGCAGAGGGGCUGCCUGGGGUCUCUCUCUCCUGGCCCCUUGUGCACCCCUUGGAGGCAGCUUGCCGCAGGAAUGCUGUUUCCAAAUGUUUCCUUGCAGUGUGCAGUCCUGGUGAUUUGUGUGAAAGAAGGCACUUGGAAUGCAGUGAGGAGUGUGAUGGGAAAUGCUUUCUAGUGUGGUGUGAUUUAAUAAAGGCUGUUUGACUGCCCCUUUGACCAUUCUGGGCUGGAGCAGGGACUUCAGCUCUAUCAUAUUUCAUGGUUUUUAGGUUUUUUUUUUUUACUCUUUUUCCAGACUUUUCUUUCCCUAUGUGUUGGACACAGGUGACAGCCCCAGGAGGUGACCAUGGGACAGGGAGGCUCCUGCCUGGGCUGAGGGCCCUCCCGGGACCAGCAGAGGGCAAAGCUGCUCCAGCUGUCCUGGGCUGGAGGCACCGACAGUGCCGGGAGCCGCUGGGCUAUCCCCUAGAUGAAGCUGUGUACUUGUAUUUUGGGCAAGGAGAAUGGUCCGUUUCUCCUACCCCCUGAGUGAGCAACCAUUUUAAGGGAAAUUCAAAUGGAUCAAAGCGAGUGGUGCAUGCAGAAGAGAGAGCCCUUCCUUGGGAGCUUCCUGAAGAGUUCUUAUUGGAAAGAGGUGGCUGGAACUUUCACAAUGUGGAG